rnacentral:ribozyme from 14 species
CAGAACUUCAUUUCUCAACUGCAUUCCAUUUUUUUUUUUUUUUUUUUUCCUUUCUUUCUU